rnacentral:rRNA from 1 species
GCCUACGACCAUAUCACCCUGAAUGCGCCCGAUCUCGUCUGAUCUCGGAAGCUAAGCAUGGUCGAGCCUGGUUAGUACUUGGAUGGGCGACUGCCUGGGAAUACCAGGUGUUGUAGGCU